AAAAUCCAACAUAACAUAGUUUUCAAUAUUCAUCAUUAAAAGGCAAGUUGUUCAAGUUGAACAAAUUGCUACUGAAAUACAACAAAAAUGAGAAUAGAAACAGAGAAGGCAACUCAAUAUUUCAAACCAAAUGAUUUCUGAUGGUCAAUUCUGUAUAAAAGCCAGUAACAGGUUUAAUGAACUAUGCUGUUAUUGUUUUUAUCAAUAUAUGAGAUCUCUCUCUCUCUUCAACUUCUUAGCCAAGUUUGUCUCAAUUGGCCCCAAGCCAACACUUCAUUUUCCCCCCUUAUCCCAAUCAAAUUAUUUUUACAUUUUUUUUUUUUUUGAGACAGGUUCUCCCUAUGUAGCCCAGGUUGGCCUUGAACUCACUGCCAUUCUCCUGCCUCAGCCUCCCAAGUGCUGGAAUUAUAGGUUUGUGCCACCAUAUCCAGCAAUAUCUACCUUUUAAUUUCACUUCUUGUCUAUUUCUGUGACUGGUACUCUAUCUUCUCCCUAUACUUUAUUCCAUUUAUUUUCAGUUGUUACCUAAUCUUGUCCAUCCUCCUUUUUGCAUUUAUCUUAUAUUUAUUUUUGUAAUUUUAAUUUCCACCACCAUCAAUUUAGUAUGAGUUCUGAUCCUUUCAACCCUAGGUUAUAACUUUUAUUUUCUAACCUUACUUGCUUUGUGUGUUCCCAGUUGUUUAGCCUACGCACACACUUCUGAUUGAUCCUCUAUUUUACUCUAAUCACAAGUUAAUGAAGUCUGGAAUCAGAUACAAGCCUUUACUCAGUUCUGUGGUUUAGGCAAACAACUUUUGAAUAUGCUCAAAUAUUCUAAAAACUAAAUUCCUGUUAAAAAGUCAGAGAUUAAAUGGAUUGGAGCAAAUCACUUUUAUAAAAUAAUCUACACAGGUGAAUAUUUGGAAUUGUUAGUCAACAUUUCCCUCUUAGUUUAAAAUAAUAGCAUAAAUUAAUUAUUAAACUAAAGAAGGUUUUACAAGGUAAACUAAUGCAACCCUGGACAUAGGCAAUUACCUAGAGGGACCAUUACCUUCUCUAGGCAACCACUGCAACCCUCAAACUUUGCUGCUGAUUACUGUGGUGAUCAACAGGUUGAACGCACCUCCAAAACAGUUUUGUUCCUCCAGUGAAAACUGAAGUGACAUUCUAUUAGAGUUUUUUCUGCAAUUAGUUUUCUGGAAGGAUAUCACUGUCAAUCUUUAUUCCAAGUGUUCCAAAAGUCAAACCUUUCCCUAGCAUAAUUAUUAUGUAGGGGCUCCACUGUGCUGCCAGGAAACUUCAGAUUGAACUUUUAAAUGAAAGAAAAAGCCUUAGGGCUUAACUGGGCAUACAUUUGCUGCUUUAAGAAUGGUGUGUUUGUUUUAAAUUGGUGCUCCAUCACUAAAGUUCAAGAGGGACCUUUUAAAAAUCAGCGUUUAAAAGAUCCAAUUUCCUUGCACUUUUGGUCAAGAGUUCAUAGUUACUUCCUCUGUUAGAAAGACCAACUUACCUUAGCAGUAGCAAAGAAAUUUAAAACCAAUGGAUUCCCUUUUCUUCAUUUACUAUUCAUCAGUAACUUAACUUUCUUCUAAAAUACCUAUACCUUUGUAUCCAACACCUUUCAUCCCUAACUUACUAAGUAUUUACAAUCUCAAAUGUAAAUAAUGAAUGCUGAACUCCAAAACUCCAUUUCUUUUUUUUUUGGUACCAGGAAUCGAACUCAGGUCCUUGUGCUUGCAAGGCAGGCGGCGGAACCACUGAGCUAAAUCCCCGGCCCUAAAACUCCAUUUUAAAUACCCUUUACUCCUACUUACACUCACACAGUAUUUCCUUGACUUCUGAUACAAUUCUUUUGAUCGUGCUCUAGAAGCAUCACUUUAUCACCAACUCACCCUGCUCCCGACCACUAAUACAACACUUUCCACACUAAAUUACAGUGGUUGCAAAAAUUUCCUUCUGGCUUAGUUUGUAAUCUCCUGAGAGAAAAUGGACCAUGUUUUAUUCAACUUUGAAUUUCAAAAUGGUGCAUAUACAGUAAUAUUUAACACACACUAGGUGUUCCAUAAGUUGACUUGCUAGAUUGAACUGAACUAACAAAUUUUGAUUCAGGCUUUGUUAAUUACUAAGUGCCAGGCCUCCAUAAACAGAGGACAACAGUGAAAUAAAGUAAUUAUCCAGGUCAUUGCAGACAAGAAUGUGCUAAUUUGUGGAAAACGAGUAAGUAAAAUUUUGCCUGACUGAACUAAUCCAUCAUUUCAUUGCAAUGCUUAGCUUUGCUAGUGGAACUUUGACCUCUGUGCACCAUCUUAUUUUCUCCUGCGCUUUGCGUUAUAACUGCAUCAUUCAAUUUGUAUCGAUCAUGAUCAUACCCUGUGCCUCAUGUGUUCAGGACAAAAUUGCAUCCUAAUCCCUGUCAAUUGUCUUGUGAAAGUGCCAUUGGUUCCAAGGAGGGUCAGCUGAGGCAGUAUGUUGAUGGCUCCCAUGAACAGGCCCACCCACACUUAAAAAGAUUACAUCUCACCAAGAGAAUGAGUCUCUGACACUUUUAUUUACCAAAGUCAAUAGGAUCCACAACUAAAUCCAACCUUUACCACAUCGUUUCUCCAAGUGAAGUCUGUAUGAUCUUCUAGACAAAAAGCA
ensembl:lncRNA